rnacentral:tRNA from 1 species
GAGGGCAUAGCUCAGUGGCAGAGUGCAUGCUUAGCAUGCAUGAGGUCCUGGGUUCAACACCCAGUACCUUCA